AUUGAACGCUGGCGGCAUGCCUUACACAUGCAAGUCGAACGGUAACAGGCCGCAAGGUGCUGACGAGUGGCGAACGGGUGAGUAAUGCAUCGGAACGUGCCCAGUCGUGGGGGAUAACUGCUCGAAAGAGCAGCUAAUACCGCAUACGACCUGAGGGGGAAAGCGGGGGACCGUAAGGCCUCGCGCGAUUGGAGCGGCCGAUGUCAGAUUAGCUAGUUGGGGGGGUAAAGGCCUACCAAGGCAACGAUCUGUAGUUGGUCUGAAAGGACGACCAGCCACACUGGGACGGAGACACGGCCCAGACUCCUACGGGAGGCAGCAGUGGGGAAUUUUGGACAAGGGGCGCAAGCCUGAUCCAGCAAUGCCGCGGGCAGGAAGAAGGCCUUCGGGUUGUAAACUGCUUUUGUCAGGGAAGAAACGGUCUGGGUUAAUACCCUGGGCUAAUGACGGUACCGUAAGAAUAAGCACCGGCUAACUACGUGCCAGCCGCCGCAGUAAGAC
rnacentral:rRNA from 1 species